UGCAGAAUUCCGUGAAUCAUCGAGUCUUUGAACGCAAGUUGCGCCCGAGGCUUGUCCCGAGGGCAUGCCUGCCUGAGCGUC
rnacentral:rRNA from 1 species